rnacentral:rRNA from 1 species
GAUGAACGCUAGCGGGAGGCCUAACACAUGCAAGCCGAGCGGUAUUUGUUCUUCGGAACAGAGAGAGCGGCGUACGGGUGCGGAACACGUGUGCAACCUACCUUUAUCAGGGGGAUAGCCUUUCGAAAGGAAGAUUAAUACCCCAUAAUAUAUUAGAUGGCAUCAUUUGAUAUUGAAAACUCCGGUGGAUAGAGAUGGGCACGCGCAAGAUUAGAUAGUUGGUAGGGUAACGGCCUACCAAGUCAAUGAUCUUUAGGGGGCCUGAGAGGGUGAUCCCCCACACUGGUACUGAGACACGGACCAGACUCCUACGGGAGGCAGCAGUGAGGAAUAUUGGACAAUGGGUGAGAGCCUGAUCCAGCCAUCCCGCGUGAAGGACGACGGCCCUAUGGGUUGUAAACUUCUUUUGUAUAGGGAUAAACCUACUCUCGUGAGAGUAGCUGAAGGUACUAUACGAAUAAGCACCGGCUAACUCCGUGCCAGCCGCCGCAGUAAGAC